GAUUUAUUUUUAUUUAAUUUUCCCCCUUCCUUUUUCUACUUAUUUAUUUCUUCUCAUUUCCCUCUCCAAAACCCUAAUUUUCUACCUCGAAAAUUUUCUGCGAUUGUUCUGAUUUUUUUUGAAUUUUUUCCUUUAUAUUUCUGAGAUUUUUUUUUUUUACUGUUUUUUUUUUAAAUUUUAAAUUUUAAAUUUUACGAUUUUUGGGGGUGAUGUUUUGUUGGAUUUUUCAUUUACUGAAGCUUUGUGUAGUAGUCUGUAAUGGCGGAGAUUUAGGUUACUGAGAAGAUACUGAAUUGAAGUUGUAGUACUGAAAGCUGUUGUUCCUGAUCUAGAAUCGGUUCUACUGGAGGUUUUGAGUCUUGGGUUUUACUCAUAGGUUCUGGAUUUCAUCUCAUUUUCGUUGGCUCUGUUUCUGUGUUCUUGUUUCAUUGUCUUCUUCAUUGAGAGCUUCUUCGUUCAUGUUGUGGUUUGUUAAACAUCGUCUGUAGUGUCAAUAAUGGAGGUUUAGGGUUUAAGCUAUCGGUUUACCGUUUAUGAACUUUUUGCUUUAGAACAAAUCUUUUUUUUUUUUUUUUUCCCCUCUCACUGUAAAAGUGGAGGAGAAAGAGGGAGGAGUGGAUUUUGGGUUUGCAGUAAAAGUGGGUCAAGCUGCAGAGGGUUUCGGGAUGAUGGAUUCAAGACCUGAAAAUUCAAGCACAGAUGGUGAGACGCCGCCGCAGCAGUCGCUGCCGAGUGUUCCAACGGCGGCGGCUACAAAUGGGAAGAAGAAAAGAGGGAGGCCGAGAAAGUACGGCCCUGAUGGGACUGUAGCUCCUACAUUGUCACCAAUGCCGAUUUCGUCAUCGAUUCCGCUGACUGGAGAAUUUCCGGGUUGGAAACGGGGAAGAGGACGUUCAGUAGAGUCGAUUAAGAAGUCGCGGAAGUUUGAGUAUGAGAUUCCAGGUAACAAGGUUGCCUUCUUUGCUGGAGCAGAUUUCACACCUCACGUGAUCACUGUUAAUAUUGGUGAGGAUGUUAACUUGAAAAUCAUGUCAUUUUCUCAACAAGGAUCUCGGGCGAUUUGUAUACUCUCUGCUAAUGGUAUGGUUUCGAAUGUUACACUUCAGCAGUCAACAUCUUCUGGGGGUACUUUAACAUAUGAGGGUCGAUUUGAGAUACUUUCAUUGUCUGGAUCAUAUAUGCCUUCUGAGAUUGGUGGAACCAAGAGCCGAUCUGGAGGGAUGAGUGUCUCUUUGGCUGGUCCAGAUGGCCGAGUGAUGGGUGGAGGACUUGCUGGCAUGCUGAUAGCAGCUGGUCCAGUGCAGGUGGUGGUCGGUAGUUUCUUGCCACCAGGUCACCAGCAGGAAAAUAAACCAAAGAAGAGUAGGAUGGAACCUACAUCGAACACGAUUAUGCCUCCAGCCAAUGUUCUUUCUGGCGAAGGGGAGGAGGAAGCAUUUGGAGUGAAUCCCAUAGUCGCAUCUACUCUAAUUGGAGAUAAAUCAGCUUCUUUAGACCAAAAUUUAGCUUUUAAAACUUCACAAGUCAACGACAAAUCACCUUUUCCCCAAGAAUCAAGAGGUGUCCUCAACCAUUCAAACCAUGAGGUUUCUUGUUAAGCAUCAUCUCUCCUGCACCUUGAAUUUUUCAUGCAGAUUUGCUGGUGCAUUGGCUUUUCUACAACCUCGAUCAUUAGCGGUAUGAGCUCAUUGAUUCUGUAAAGGGCUAACUACGAGAGUUUAAACAACUGACGUAUUUGUCGUCAUCAGAGUUACAGAACUCAACCCCCAGGUAAAAGUGAUGGAGAUUCUUGUUUGGCUUGGCUGAAGUAUCUCAGAACAAAAAUCAAUCGGUUUGAGCUGGCCCAACUAUUCGACUGAUCUCGAGUGGCAUAUCAUCGUCAUUUUGCUGAUCAAAACUGGAGAACGAGACCGGUUUUGAGGUGAAGAGGAUGAUGAGUAUGAUCAAAUUGAAGAAGCAGAAGAUGAACAGAGUGCUGGAAACUGCCUCAGCAGCAAGUUCUAGA